GAUGAACGCUAGCGGCAGGCUUAAUACAUGCAAGUCGAGGGGCAGCAUGGGUAGCAAUACCUGAUGGCGACCGGCAAACGGGUGCGGAACACGUACGCAACUUUCCCAGAACUGGUGAAUAGCCCUCCGAAAGGAGGAUUAAUACACCGUAAGAUAGAGAUGUGGCAUCACAUUUUUAUUAUAGCACCGGCGGUUUUGGAUGGGCGUGCGCCUGAUUAGGUAGUUGGCGGGGUAACGGCCCACCAAGCCUACGAUCAGUAACUGGUGUGAGAGCACGACCAGUCACACGGGCACUGAGACACGGGCCCGACUCCUACGGGAGGCAGCAGUAAGGAAUAUUGGUCAAUGGACGCAAGUCUGAACCAGCCAUGCCGCGUGAAGGAUGAAGGCCCUCUGGGUUGUAAACUUCUUUUAUCUGGGACGAAAAAGGGGCAUUCUUGCUCAACUGACGGUACCAGAGGAAUAAGCACCGGCUAACUCCGUGCCAGCCGCCGCGGUAACAC
rnacentral:rRNA from 1 species